CAUCCCCGCGCCGCCUCCAUCCCCGGCCGCAGCCCCGCAUCCCCGCGCCGCCUCCAUCCCCGGCCGCAGCCCCGCAUCCCCGCGUCGGCUCCAUCUCCGGCCGCAGCCCCGCGACACCUGCAACCCUCGACCUCCGUUCAUUCUCGAUGCCCGCCUCCGACCUCGCCGUCCUCGUCCCCUCCGCCGUUGGAAGCGCCAUCGUGUUGGGUCACCGGAAGCGUCGCGCGCAUGUAGCGUCGUGCGACUCGACGGAGCUCCUGAUUUUCGCUACACACACUUCUCCUAAUCUGUGAACCUCACUUCUACUAAUCUGUGAAGCUCACUUCUCUUAAUUUGUGAAGUUCACUUGCCCAUCGUGAGAAUUCCCGAUUCGGCAGAGAUAGCAGUUAACUUCCACGAUGCAGAGUUCACUUGGUCCACAGAGGGUACAAAAAGUUAAUUUUUUCAGAGGGGGAGUCCGCUUAAUUCUUGGGGCAGAGUUCACUAUUGCUUGUCCAGAGAUUUUUAAUGAGGAACUUAUUUUGUUUGAGUAGUGAGUAAUUUUUUACAACAUUGAGCAAUUUUAUUACAGACAAACACAAGUGAACUUUUAAUGAUGUAUUGUCCUGAGGCUUUUCUCACUACAUAAUCGAGUGCAAAACUGUUGUUGUUUUAGUUUAGAACUGCCCAAACUUCAGAGCUAAACUACAAUAUUUUGGCUUAAGAACUACUGCUAGUUCAUAGCUGAACAUUUGCUUGUUCCCUCGACAGCAUGCUUGGCCUCCCUCAUGACCAUUCAGGAUCUCCGCCGCCACCUGAACUAAGGUGUAUGUUUCUCUACGAACCGCUGCUGACUAGUUUGUGAACUUGCUCAAUGACCUGCACAACUCUGAACUGCCUGAUGCUAAUUCAGAAUUCUCUGUGUCAGAAAGUUCGCCUUGUGCAUUCUUGAAGUUCAAAUAUAAUCGAACCAUCUUCACUUUUGUUGGACAGUUUACUUGGGACAUAAUGGGAAGCUCAAUUUUCACAUCGUGAAAGUUCAUUUCAUUUUUCUAUGAAACAAACUAAAUGGUAAUGGUGAGUUCACUUUUGUAAAAGUGAAGUUCACUCCGCAAAUAAAAUGAAGUUCAUUUGAACAAAAAUGCAUAUUGCUGCAAUCUUGUUUUGAUGUAUAAAAGCAUUAUCUAGUAUUUCGUUUGAUCUUAACCAUCUACUACUGUCUACUAUUAUCCUUAUGCUUCCUUUUUUGUUAUAUGUAAGGAACACUACUUGACCGAGCCUACUAUGCUAUAUCUAAGAGGUGGCAUGAUGAUCCGGUAAUACUCCACGGGGAUUUCAACGCUUAAACUUAAGUACCCACAAGCAGCAUUGCAACGAGCUGGGAGUUCUUGCGGCUGGCUCCUGUGGUUGUCCAUCGCAAGUCAUGCUCUUCAUUGCAUGAAGCAGCCGAGCACAAAUGCACAACAGGAAUAAAGAAAUGUAGCUACACUGGACUUCCUUGUCGGUGCCUUCAUAUGCAUCUCUUCCGCUUGACACAGCGACGCCGCGAGUGACAAGGCUGCCACCCCACACUGCUGCAUCUGCUCCGCGAGUAACGCUGCUCUUUGAAUCCCUCCUGUGUUGUCUUUUUUAUGACAGGUGUUGGCGACCUGGGAGUCCAUCGCUCGCAGCCAUGGGAAGUCCAUCAAUGUCGUCCACAAUGUCCGACAGGGAACAACAUCAUCAGGAGUUCGCUUCUUCUAAUCUAUUUCUGCAGUAGCAUGUCGCGCUGGUGGCGGUCAUGUCCUAAAAUUAUUGGCCGGGGCCCUGUGCUGCUGAUUCCUUGGCCGAUACCUUCUGCGAGUGGGUGCGUGCUCCUCCGGCAGGGUAGCAGCUUGGGCGAUGAAUUCAACAAGACUUGUAGAGCUUGGCUGGAAGACACUAUAAUAUUUUUGAAUUAGCUCAUGUAUUUAGGGGAGAAGUUUUUCUGCACUUCAACGUGGCUAUUUAGGAUUCAUACUUCCUUAUUUGGGAUAUGAACUUCAACGUGGCUCCAUGAUCGCAUGCCGUUGAGAAGUUUUGUAGCAUUUUUCCUCCGUGAAGUGUUACUGUGUCUGACUUUCACUUUUGCCUUUAACUCUGAUUACUUGUAAUAAUUUGGGGAAAUGAAUAACAUGUACUUGUGUUGAUGUGUAAUAGAAAAAAUAAGAAGUUCAUUUUUAUUUA